CCUACGGGAGGCAGCAGUGAGGAAUAUUGGUCAAUGGGCGAGAGCCUGAACCAGCCAAGUCGCGUGAGGGAGUACUGCCCUAUGGGUUGUAAACCUCUUUUGUCGGGGAGCAAAAGCCGGACGUGUCCGGCUGUGAGAGUACCCGAAGAAAAAGCAUCGGCUAACUCCGUGCCAGCAGCCGCGGUAAUACGGAGGAUGCGAGCGUUAUCCGGAUUUAUUGGGUUUAAAGGGUGCGCAGGCGGAUUUUUAAGUCAGCGGUAAAAUCGUGGGGCUCAACCCCAUCGAGCCGUUGAAACUGGGGAUCUAGAGUGUGCGAGAGGUAUGCGGAAUGCGUGGUGUAGCGGUGAAAUGCAUAGAUAUCACGCAGAACCCCGAUUGCGAAGGCAGCAUACCGGUGCACAACUGACGCUCAGGCACGAAAGCGUGGGUAUCGAACAGGAUUAGAUACCCGGGUAGUC
rnacentral:rRNA from 1 species